rnacentral:misc_RNA from 1 species
UCAUUGGGACGGCGGCUUGAGCAAGUCCCGGUAUCCGGUCUGCGUCAUCCAUCUUGCGCGUGCAAGAUGGCUGUCAUGCACGUGACGCGCGCGAUCCGGCUCACGUUGCGCAUCAAGACCGAAAAUGAUCUGUACGACCUCGCGCCAGUCGGCACCCUCCUCAUCCGCAUCAAGAAGCCGAAGAUACGUCUUGAGGUGCCGCUCGUCGUAAGGCGUGACAUGCGGCAGGUCGGGUGGA